AAUGGUUGUAAAAUGCCAUACAGAGAAACAGUGCAAAAAUCGAUUUUGUAGUGAAUGAUAUAUGAAAAGAGAAUGGAAAAUAGUGCAUGGGUACCGUAAAUAAACGGUCCCAAUCCAAUUGGUGGCAUAUAAAUUAUAUAUUUGUUGGUUGUAAAUAAAUAAAUAUGGCAAGUUGUUUGUAGUGAUAAUAUUUUUAAGUGUAAUUUUCUAACAAAUUUCGGAACGGUGCUGGUGGUGUAACAGUAAAAUGUAGUACGUACAAGGUAUAUAUGCAAAAAUACAUGCGUACGUGAAAACAUAUGUAUUUGUAUGUUUGUAUGUAUGUAACACAUUGCAGAUAAAUGUGUGCGAGAGUACACAUAACCAAACAAAGAAAUGAGAUAAUGUGCGAACCGUAGCAGCCAUCUUGUUCGCCUUAUAUUGUUGUUGUCUGUUGUGACCCCGAAACAGACGUGAAGUGGAGACCGAAAAUCA